rnacentral:rRNA from 1 species
CCUACGGGGGGCAGCAGUGGGGAAUAUUGGACAAUGGGGGCAACCCUGAUCCAGCCAUGCCGCGUGUGUGAAGAAGGCCCUCGGGUCGUAAAGCACUUUCAGUGAGGAAGAACGCCUGGUGGUUAAUACCCAUCAGGAAAGACAUCACUCACAGAAGAAGCACCGGCUAACUCCGUGCCAGCAGCCGCGGUAAUACGGAGGGUGCGAGCGUUAAUCGGAAUUACUGGGCGUAAAGCGCGCGUAGGUGGCUUGAUAAGCCGGUUGUGAAAGCCCCGGGCUCAACCUGGGAACGGCAUCCGGAACUGUCAAGCUAGAGUGCAGGAGAGGAAGGUAGAAUUCCCGGUGUAGCGGUGAAAUGCGUAGAGAUCGGGAGGAAUACCAGUGGCGAAGGCGGCCUUCUGGACUGACACUGACACUGAGGUGCGAAAGCGUGGGUAGCAAACAGGAUUAGAUACCCUGGUAGUC